rnacentral:rRNA from 1 species
AUUGGGCAAUGCCCGCAAGGGUGACCCAGCAACGCCGCGUGGAGGAUGAAUGUCGUAAGAUUGUAAACUCCUGUUAGAGGGGAAGAAUAGUACCGGUUGGACCGGUAUAUGACUGUACCCUCAGAGAAAGCCCCGGCUAACUACGUGCCAGCAGCCGCGGUAAUACGUAGGGGGCAAGCGUUGUCCGGAUUUACUGGGUGUAAAGGGCGCGCAGGCGGGAUAAAAAGUCAGUGGUGAAAUCCUACAGCUUAACUGUAGAACUGCCUUUGAUACUUUUAGUCUUGAGUUCGGGAGAGAGAGACGGAAUUCCAGGUGUAGUGGUGAAAUACGUAGAUAUCUGGAAGAACACCAGUUGCGAAGCCGGUCUCUUGGUCCGACACUGACGCUGAGGCGCGAAAGCGUGG